UUCAGACAGGAAGCAUUGACAACAGAAAAACAAAAAUUUUUAUUUUUUUGAAUCACUCAAACUCUAAUUUCAACUUUUCUUUCCAAUAUAAAGAAAUUCGCAGUUUUAGUAACACAUAGUUUGAAAAGAAAAGCAAACAUGAAGGGAGAAAGUACCUGCCUUUCCGGAUACCAGAGGCCACGGUGGGGAUAGAAGCGGCGGUGCACGACGGUGUGCAGCUCGAUUGAAACCUCAGAAUGUUACAGCAAAGGUCAAUGACACUGCAUCUGAAACAGAAAGGCAGCAACAAAACAGAGCCAAACACUGCAUCAGAAACAUAGAGGCAACAACAGCAACAAAACAGAGCCAAAGGCUUAAUUUGAAAAAGUUUGACCUAAUUUUUAUUGUAAUUUAAUUUGGUUUUAUUUUUGGUUGUAAUUUUAUUGUAAUUUUAGAAUUGUAAUUGUAAACUGAUUUGGUUUUGUAAAUUGAUGAGCCUAAUUACUUUA